UUGGACUACAACUAUUAGAGUGUUGCAAUAACUUAUAGUAGGAAAUACCUAGCUGAGAGAAAUAUAAAGGUGUUGUAGAAUAAUAUAGGAAUAAAACGACUAUCAUAAAGGUUAAGCUAUGGCAGUAGAAGGCACAUUUAAACUAAUUGACCCAUUAGCAUACCAUGUUAACAACGUGGAAGACCUUGACCCCGAGGUUGUCAAAGCAUUUAAAAGAAAAGACAAUAGUACCAUAGCGGAGUUGACACAUAAUGGGGAUACAGAUUUUGACGUUUUUAUCUGCAUCAACAAAGCAUGGCAUGCUUUUAUUCUUUGCAUACCAAAUACCAUUAAUGAUCCUCAUGGGCUCUUGUCAGAUGUUCCACAAGAUAACCCUUUUGUUGUGUCUGGGGAUAUCCUCUGCUGGAGUUUUGAGCUGUGCUUUGAAAACGAACAGCUGAAGCUGUACAAAAUCAGAAAGGAGUUCAACAUGCUGAAAGACAUUAGAAAUCGGAUCAAUAAGGCAUAUCACAUUGGCAAGUUUAUGAAUGUCAAACCCAAAGCAUUUCAGUUUGCUGUCUUGAGAGCUGCUCCACAUCGCUACAAUGUCCUCCUGAAUGACUGCGUAGAGUUUGCCAAGGAGUUUUGCCUUUGUAUGUUGAGCUAUUGUAGCAAUUACAGACAGCUGGAGGAGCCUGUUAAUGAGAAUAUCAAGAAAGCAACAGCGACUGGCCUUAGUGUGGAGAAUUUAUCCAGACGUGUUCGUAGCUCAGCUUUAAUCGGAAAUACUUUCCUUGGAGGUUUAGAUGUUUCCACAUUCUUCAGUGCGAGAAAUGGUUCAGCUGGACUUAUAGUGUUUAUCCUCGUUUACCCAAUCUUUGUGGCCUGUGUCACAGCAGCAGUUAUCAUCUACGUCCUCAAAUGAUAAAGUUGCCUCAAUGUGAAGAAGGCGGGUUUGAAUCAUAAUAAACAAUGGUCAAAUUUACAUGUCAAUGGCCGUUUCAUACAUCAGAUAUGAAAAAAAAACAAGUCGGUGUGUGUAUGUGUAUUAUUGCAAUCACACUGAGAAAUUGCUGAAUAUAGUUAUGUAUGGAAGAAAUAUAGAGAUUUCAUAAUUAUGUGAAGUACUUUGAAUGGUUGAUUCUUUUUUAAUCUUAAUGACUCUUCCUCGGUUAAGUUUAUGGACUAUGUCUAGGUUCCUGUAUUGUUUUUUUUUUUCUUAAUAUGUUUUUUAAAGAAAGCAUAAUUACAGAGAAAUCGCAGGUGACAAUGUUGCCAUGUCCUUGAACAAAUCUCCUGAAACAAAUCUGCCUACCAAGAUAACUUCUUCCCAGCUACUGUUAUCCUUUGGGACCGCCUGCCUCCAUGUGCCGUAAGUCAGUCUAUGCUGGACGGAUUUAGGCAUGUUCUAGGAAUUAUCAACACAUUCUAAAUACCAGUCUUCAUUUUAUUAGUUUUUCAAACUGUGUACAAAGAGAGGCUUUUUAGUUUUUUAGAUGUAAAUAGUUGUCUCCUAAGGUUGCACAUGUACAGUAUUUUUAAUCAAAUCGCGAGUCUGUUCUUUUAGUGCGAGGCGAUUACUGAAGAAGAAGAAGAUGCUGAUGAUCAAUUGUAAAAUUCUUACCUGUUUUAUAUGAAAAAUGGCAACAAGCUUACUUGGAAAAUAUUCUUGUUAUUAAAGCAAUCAGUUCCUUUUUGUUAUAGCUAUAUCACAAAAUUGGUUCGUCUAUCGAGUGAUCCAAUGAGUCGAUCUAUCUGACUUUGAGUCGAACACAUGGGCAAACAUUUGUUAAAUAAGCAGACAUCUCAUGUACAAUUUAAUUUACAGGAUUAACACAACAGGUUUCAUUUGUUUUUGUUAAUUUUGUACAGUUAAUAUGCAUAUUAGCAACCUUAUUUUUUGUUGUACGAUAUGUAUUUAUAUAUUCGCAGCGAUUUUUACCAUCAUGAAAUAAAACCACGUGCGUUUGAUUAGCUAUACUUUAAUGUAUUUGUUAUGUGAAAAUGGAAUAAUCAUGUUAAUAAAGAA